UACGUAGGGGGCGAGCGUUGUCCGGAAUUAUUGGGCGUAAAGCGCGCGCAGGCGGCAAUGUAAGUUGGGUGUUUAAACCUAGGGCUCAACCUUGGGUCGCAUCCAAAACUGCAUAGCUUGAGUACAGAAGAGGAGAGUGGAAUUCCUGGUGUAGCGGUGAAAUGCGCAGAUAUCAGGAAGAACACCCGUGGCUAAGGCGGCUCUCUAGUACGGUACUGACGCUGAGACGCGAAAGCGUGGGGAGCGAACAGG
rnacentral:rRNA from 1 species